rnacentral:rRNA from 1 species
UACGGGGGGGUGCAAGCGUUAUCCGGAUUCACUGGGUUUAAAGGGUGCGUAGGCGGACAGGUAAGUCAGUGGUGAAAAUCUCUGGGCUUAACUCAGAAACUGCCGUUGAUACUAUUUGUCUUGAAUGUCAUGGAGGUAAGCGGAAUAUGUCAUGUAGCGGUGAAAUGCUUAGAUAUGACAUAGAACACCGAUAGCGAAGGCAGCUUACUACAUGAAAGAUUGACGCUGAGGCACGAAAAGCGUGGGGGAGCAAACAGG